rnacentral:rRNA from 1 species
UUUCUCUGGGGGGGGAAAAGUGAAAAGCACUUUGAAGAGAGAGUUCAAGAGUACGUGAAACCGUUCAGGGGUAAACCUGAGAAACCCGAAAGGUCGAAAGGGGAAAUUCAUUCGCGUUUCGGAUAUCGGCGAUGAGCAGUCGCGUGACGGACGGCGUUCGCGUCGUCCGCUCCUUGUUGUUUUCCGAACCGGUAACGAACGCGUGCACUUUUCCCCUGGUAGGACGUCGCGAUCCGUUGGGUGUCGGUCUACGGCUCGCGGUGGAGUCCGUGCGCGAUCGUCUCGGCGAUUCGCGCUCGAACCCGCGAUGUUCCGGCCGACUCGCUCGACGGUAUACAGAUGGCGCGAGGCCGCUACGUAAAUUAGCGUCCGACCCGCGGCAAGCGCGUUCGAUGCUAAGACGGCGAUCGGACCUAGCGCCGAUUCCGUUUCCGGACGACUGUUGGCCGUGCGGAUCUCUCGGACAGACCUCGUUCGAAACGCUGAUCUGCGACGCUAUAGCUUUGGGUACUUUCAGGACCCGUCUUGAAAAGCACCAAAGGGGGAUUAUA